AACGAACGCUGGCGGCAUGCCUAACACAUGCAAGUCGAACGAGACCUUCGGGUCUAGUGGCGAACGGGUGCGUAACGCGUGGGAACAUGCCCUUAGGUUCUGAAUAACUCCCCGAAAGGGGUGCUAAUACCGGAUAAUGUCUUCGGACCAAAGAUUUAUCGCCUUUGGAUGGGCCCGCGUUGGUUUAGCUAGUUGGUAGGGUAAAAGCCUACCAAGGCGACGAUCCAGAGCUGGUCUGAGAGGAGGAUCAGCCACACUGGGACUGAGACACGGCUCCGACUGCUACGAGAGGCAGCAGUGGAGAAUAAUGGACAAUGGGCGAGAUGCUGAUCCAGCAAGGCCGCGUGAGUGAUGAAGGCGUUAGGGUUGUAAAGCGCUUUUGACCGGGAUGAGAAUGACGGUACCGGGUGAAUAAGCACCGGCUAACUCCGUG
rnacentral:rRNA from 1 species